AUGUAAAAUGACUCUCGGCAACGGAUAUCUCGGCUCUUGCAUCGAUGAAGAACGUAGCGAAAUGCGAUACUUGGUGUGAAUUGCAGAAUCCCGUGAACCAUCGAGUCUUUGAACGCAAGUUGCGCCCAAAGCCAUUAAGCUGAGGGCACACCUGCCUGGGUGUCACAC
rnacentral:rRNA from 1 species